UACAGAGGGUGCAAGCGUUAAUCGGAAUUACUGGGCGUAAAGCGUGCGCAGACGGUUGCGUAAGUGAGAUGUGAAAGCCCCGGGCUCAACCUGGGAACUGCAUCUUAUACUGGGUAACUGGAGUACAUGAGAGGGUAGUGGAAUUUCCGGUGUAGCGGUGAAAUGCGUAGAUAUCGGAAGGAACACCAGUGGCGAAGGCGGCUACCUGGCAUGAUACUGACACUGAGGCGCGAGAGCGUGGGGAGCAAACAGG
rnacentral:rRNA from 1 species